CGGUAAUUCCAGCUCCAAUAGCGUAUACUAAAGUUGUUGCAGUUAAAAAGCUCGUAGUUGGAUUUCUGCGGGGACGGAGCGGCCGGACGCAACUUGCGUCUCGAGCUAGCGCUUUCCCCGCAUCCUGCCGCGAACCGUGCUACCAUUAGUUUGGUGGCGCUGGGGAUCGGCUCGAUUACUUUGAGAAAAAUAGAGUGUUCAAAGCAGGCCACACGCCUUGAAUAAGUUAGCAUGGAAUAAUGACUAAGGACUUUGGUUCUUUUCGUUGGUGUUCGGGACUGAAGUAAUGAUUGAUAGGGACAGUUGGGGCGGUCCGUAUUCCAAAGCGAGAGGUGAAAUUCUUAGACCUUCGGAAGACGAACAGCUGCGAAAGCGUUCCGCAAGGAUGUUCCCUUUGAUCAAGAACGAAAGUUGGGGGAUCGAAGACGAUCAGAUACCGUCGUAGUCUCAACUAUAAACUAUACCAGCUAGGGAUCGGCCAACGUUUAAUUAUUCGACUUGGUCGGCACCUUAUGAGAAAUCAAAGCAUCUGGGUUCCGGGGGGAAUAUGGUCGCAAGGCUGAAACUUAAAGGAAUUGACGGAAGGGCACCACCAGGCGUGGAGCCUGUGGCUUAAUUUGACUCAACACGGGAAAACUUACCAGGUCCAGACAUAGGAAGGAUUGACAGAUUGAUAGCUCUUUCUUGAUUCUGUGGGUGGUGGUGCAUGGCCGUUUUUAGUCGGUGAAGUGAUUUGUCUGCUUAAUUGCGUUAACGGACGAGACCCCAGCCUGCUAAAUAGCGCGGCCGAGCUUUGCUCGGUACGAGCUUCUUAGAGGGACCAUGAUGCGCGAUAGCACAAGGAAGUUUGGGGCAACAACAGGUCUGUGAUGCCCUUAGAUGUUCUGGGCCGCACACGGGCUACACUGGCGCCUGCAACGAGCAUAUCAGCUGGCCCGAGAGGGUCUUGGCUAAUCUUUGGAACCGGCGCCGUGCUUGGGAUUGACCAUUGCAAUUGUUGGUCAUGCAACGAGGAAUGCCUUGUAAACGCGAGUCAUCAGCUCGCAUUGAAUACGUCCCUGCCCUUUGUACACACCGCCCGUCGCUCCUACCGAUGAAUGUUCCGAUGAAAUUUUCGGAGAGCGCCGGAGAACGGGGCUCUGCCCUGCAGAACUGGAGGCUCAAAGUCACUUAAAUCUGAACAUUUCGAGGAAGGAGAAGUCGUAACAAGGUAACC
rnacentral:rRNA from 1 species